UUUAAGCACACAUUUUUCCAAGAAAACACUAUUUCAACUAUUAAAAUUUGAAAAGAAUGGAAGAAAACACUAUUUCAACCAUUAAAAUUUGAAAAGAAUGGAGGGCAAACGGGGGCUAUAUGUGAUUCUUUUUGUCCAUCCAUUACUACUCUCCAUCUUACUCUCUUCAUUGUUGACUCCGCCAAUCCCCCACAACCUUGCACAUCAAAAAGAUGCACCAUUCGAAAACCUACAAGUUCUAUUGGAAACUUGUACACAAGUGAGUGCAAGGGAUAAAUCAUAACUAAUAAUGGAACAAUUACCUCGUCAUUCAAACUUAUGUAAAAGGGGAUAAUACGAAAGCUCAAGCUCCAUAAAUAAUAGGAAGAAUGAUAUCUUGACAACAGUAUNN
rnacentral:lncRNA from 1 species